UACGGAAGGCAGCAGUGGGGAAUAUUGCACAAUGGGCGCAAGCCUGAUGCAGCCAUGCCGCGUGUAUGAAGAAGGCCUUCGGGUUGUAAAGUACUUUCAGUCGCGAGGAAGGUGUUAAGGUUAAUAACCUUAGCAAUUGACGUUAGCGACAGAAGAAGCACCGGCUAACUCCGUGCCAGCAGCCGCGGUAAUACGGAGGGUGCGAGCGUUAAUCGGAAUUACUGGGCGUAAAGGGCACGCAGGCGGUUAAUUAAGUUGGAUGUGAAAUCCCCGGGCUUAACCUGGGAAUGGCAUUCAAGACUGGUUAGCUAGAGUCUUGUAGAGGGGGUAGAAUUCCAUGUGUAGCGGUGAAAUGCGUAGAGAUGUGGAGGAAUACCGGUGGCGAAGGCGGCCCCUGGGACAAAGACUGACGCUCAUGUGCGAAAGCUGGGGAGCAAACAGGAUUAGAUACC
rnacentral:rRNA from 1 species